rnacentral:rRNA from 1 species
GGGAUUGCCUUAGUAACGGCGAGUGAAGCGGCAACAGCUCAAAUUUGAAAUCUGGCCCUCGGGUCCGAAUUGUAAUUUGUAGAGGAUAAUUUUGGUGCGGUAUCUUCCGAGUUCCUUGGAACAGGACGCCUUAGAGGGUGAGAGCCCCGUACGGUUGAAUGCCUAGCCUCUGUAAAUCUCCUUCGACGAGUCGAGUAGUUUGGGAAUGCUGCUCUAAAUGGGAGGUAAAUUUCUUCUAAAGCUAAAUAUUGGCCAGAGACCGAUAGCGCACAAGUAGAGUGAUCGAAAGAUGAAAAGCACUUUGAAAAGAGGGUUAAAUAGCACGUGAAAUUGUUGAAAGGGAAGGAUUUGUGACCAGACUUUUUCUGGGCGGAUCAUCCGGGGUUCUCUCCGGUGCACUUUGCCCAGUAAAGGCCAGCAUCGAUUUUCGGCGGCGGAUAAAAGCAGUGGGAAUGUGGCUCCCUACGGGGAGUGUUAUAGCCCAUUGUAUAAUACGCUGCUGGGGAUCGAGGUACGCGCUUCUGCAAGGAUGCUGGCGUAAUGGUUAUCAAUCACCC